GCACCCCACGGCAAUGGAUUUCUGCCGGGCUUCGGCCGAACCGCCCUCGCAAGGGUCGAUGAUUCCUACUUGGCG
rnacentral:ncRNA from 2 species